GACCUCAGUCUGACCCUGAAAGACCUCCACCUCACUGACAGUGGAGUCUACACCUGCACCGUCUACAACAAGGAUGGACACAUGCUGCUACAGAAAUCAGUGACUCUCAGUGUCAGAGAAAACAACGACAGAUCCAGAUUUCCAACAGGGAGACACGUCUGACACAGGAUGGGGGAAUACUGUUACUGGAUGGGUGAG